GAGGGUAUAGCUCAGUGGUAGAGCACAUGCUUAGCAUACACGAAGUCCUGGGUUCAAUCCUUGGUACUUCCA
rnacentral:tRNA from 1 species